CCUUAGUCAGCGUUGGGUCUCCCAAGUGGUUUCACAACUUAGAGGAUCUGACAGAGGGUACAGAACUUCUACGCUCUCCAAUCUAACUUUUAGAGAUCACGGACCUUUCUGCAGAACAAGGUCGGACUAUACAUAUCUGGCAGUAGUGUCUAGGAAAUUGAGAUCAAUCAGCAUUAGACAACAGCAAAGUGAUUUUCAGAUGGCGAGUGUUUUAAAACAUCAACGCAAUUUACAUGACAACAAUUUGGGGGCAGCCUACCGCUUUAGUACAUCCGUGACCUAAGCCAAUUCCUCGAAUUACGGAACAAGGAGAAGAAGAAGACAUAGGUCACGUUUUUGACGGAGGAGAAAAUAACGUCGAUCAAGCGGCUACAUACCCUGAGGAGUGUUUCAUCACAUUGAACGGAUUCUUUCGACUAAGAGACGAAAAAU